rnacentral:rRNA from 1 species
AGCUCCAAUAGCGUAUAUUAAAGUUGUUGCAGUUAAAAAGCUCGUAGUUGGAUUUCUGGUACGGUGCGCCUGGCCCACGGUCGCAAGAUCGCGAGUGUCGGUGUGCGCCUGCCAUCUUUCUAGUUAACCGGACGCACUUAACUGGGCGGUCGGCGAUCUAGUUCAUUUACUUUGAAAAAAUUAGAGUGUUUAAAGCAGGCUUGCGCUAUGAAUACAUUAGCAUGGAAUAAUAAUUUAGGACUUUGCUUCUAUUUUAUUGGUUUCUAGGAGUAAAGUAAUGAUUGAUAGGGAUAGUUGGGGGUGCUAGUAUUCAUCGGCCAGAGGUGAAAUUCUUGGAUUCGAUGAAGACUAACUAAUGCGAAAGCAUUCACCAAGGAUGUCUUCU